rnacentral:rRNA from 1 species
CACCGGAUUGGGACAGACUGGAAUAUCUUCGAAGUCGGCGAAGAAACGGGGGGAGGAUGGUGGGAUUGAGGUUUGGGAUCGAAGGAUCGGAUGCGCAGGGGCUCGCUCGUACCUAGCCUAGCAGCCAUCGUUCAUGUUCGACCCGGCGUUCUAGCCCUCGCCGAGGAAGCCCCUCUAUAUAGAGCGGUGCGUACAGCUGUGCAUGCUCUAACAUCGGCAGUUCUAGCUUUUGUCGUUUUGGUUGGUAGGGGUUAACAAUAUGCUCCGGUUUGACAUAUUACGAGAAGUCCCUCCCUGACCAUAACGUUUGUAUUUUACCACACCGUAACUACCGCUUCUUUUACAAGAACAAUAACUAAACGAACCCGGUUCGGAACUCCUAGACAAACAAAUAACACCGGCCUCUAAGAGUGACUUCUGUCAAAACUACAACCGUCUAGUCUACUAUUGUUCUUAUCUCAAAAACGUAAGAUUCCCCAUGAACGUGUCCCUGUAGUUCGGGCUGUUGAAAGAAUACCCGGAACCAGCCUUUCGAUUGGUCCAGAUGUAGUAACUGAAGCCUGAACGGUUCUCUAUGGCACUGAGUUGGUGCUUAGCGGUAUAUGGGAUAUCUCUUUUAUUUUUAAACUGACCGUGUCGAGCGAUACGUUCGACGUUGUGAGUAGAACCCUAACUCGUUUCGGCUUCCCUACUAGACCUCAGGUAACCUAUACAAGAGAACAUAAAAGAUUCCCCUUCAGAAGGAACCGUCCCAAAUUUUCGACGGUGUUUCUUCGUCUUUAUACUGUUUUAUUCACUCUUCUUCGAAAGUUGUGGAUAGCUCCAAAACACAUUUUGGGUAGGACACCUUAAACGAAGAAUAAAGGUGAUAACGGUAAGUAACUGUAAACUAGUUGCCGGUCUGAUGCCAAAAGACGCUGCCGAGAAAUCUCUGGACAGCCUGGCACUUCCCGUGGUUAAGCUAGUACAGAAACUGACCUGCGACAACUUCACAUUCGUUUGGGUCUUCCACUUCCGAGUUGUCGUUCUAGGACCACAUUCAUCGUCCGGCCAACGUUUCUUAUACCUGUUUGUGGUUCGACUUCGAAGAACAGUCGAACUUCGUCUUGUUGCGGGUCAUUAGUCUUACGUUUAUUCUAGAUGACGACUCUUGUCGGCAAGUUUAUUAGCUGUAAGACUAUUUAACUCCCACUCACGAUCGUGACUAUUCCUUAACGACGUUAGUUGUAGUAAACCGGUACGACCACGGGGUUCCUUCUUGCCUAGUUAGAGGUUUUGUGGUACCGAACAGCUAGGGUUGAGUCCUGGAAGUUUGGUGGAAAUCGUGAGACUAGUCAGUCAAGGAUACAAGUACGGCCAGAUAAAUCAUUGGUAACCAGUAGACCCAUACCAAAGUCGACUAUUAGGUUUCCGUUGUACAUUUAAAAUUCAAAGAUUCGACAGGAGAGAUGAUCAACUUAUACACCAACUACACUACUACACUUAAGUUGUGGUGAAUAGUACAUUCAUCAGUUCUUCAAACAGGAAGGUAUAAUAAUACACGUAUUAUACACCUUUGAAUCCUAACAACUAUGGGAAAAAAACACAAGAUGGACUCACAAAUAUAGCAGUCGUAGUAGACCCGAGUAACGAAGUCCAAGAAACGGUUGAUUAUAUCUACCACGACAAACGAAUUUUUCUCGAACCCCUGAGAACAUGUUGAAAUUGAAAUUAAUACUAGUCGCGAACACACUAUUACAAACGAGGAAAACCGUGGGGUCACAAUAGAGGACUUGAAUAUCGACCAAACUGAAAGUUCAGGUGAACUCAACGAUAAAUUACACGACUUAAUAUUCAAAAAACACGGUCUAACCCUAAGAAUGCUUUAUAAAAAAACACGGUCUACGAAAAUCAAACGUUCAACUGUAGAAUAAUUUGUAUCUACCCGAAAUCGCAGUUUACAUACACCAACCUAGAUUGGUUCGUUCCCAACACUUCUCCCGGGACAUUUCAUCCUCAUGUACUAAAACCAAUCGUACCCUACGAACCUACUAAUAAUAAAACUGACGAAGCUACGGUGAAGAACACAAGGCCACCAACUUUAGGUAACGCUAAGAGUACGGGUUUCACGUUAGACCACGUCUAGUGGUACCUACACUAGUGCAUAAAUUAUGAGGGAGGCAGGUUUUUUUCGAAAGGAUCUAAACACAUCUAUACUUACAUAAAUCUGUGCAAAUACAAUCUAUGUAGGCAUAGAUCUAUUUAGAUUUCGUUUAAAAAACUCUGCCUCCAUUAUAUUCUCAUACUGGAACAGCCUGACAUAGUAAACUUGGCUCGAUUUUUCCACGACUAGUG